rnacentral:lncRNA from 1 species
CUACAGUGUAAGUUACUGCUCUAACCACUGCACAACUCUUCCCCUGAGAAGAGGGGGAGGAACAUGCAGCAGUCGUGCUGAGGUGGGACUCUUAACAGCCCUGGGUCGGAUCCCUGGCUUUCGCAAUUCUUUGCUGGCACCUGAAAUGCCUUGUCAUCAUUCGGCAGAAGUGUGGCCAACCAAGGGAAUUACGGUACCUGGAAGAGUUACUACUCGUCCUCUGCAGCUGACCAUAUGAAUGCUCCUCACCUUCCUACUUGUAAAACAGCCACUCUGGUCACUUUCCUGGGAGAUACAUGGGAAGCAGGCAGCUUCCAGUUCAGCCAGCAGCCUGCUGAAAUGACUGGGGUGACCUUCUCCUGCAGAUGGACAGAAAAAUGGCCAAGAGGAGCCUGAUGUGGAUGAAAGG